rnacentral:lncRNA from 1 species
UGCAGUGGUGUGAUCAUGGCUCACUGAAGCCUCGACCUCCUGGGCUCAGGUCCUCUGUGAGCUGAUUCGGUUCUUCCAUAUGCCAUCAGGGCUCCUGUGCUCGUGGCCCUAGGACAGCGACCUGCAGCCCAAGAGAAACCAUCCUCCUGUUGGACUUCUGGGCCCAAUUGCGAAUGGUUCCUUACUCACCACCCACUACUUCAACAUGCCUGGAAAAUGCCACUAGGGGAGAAAGAACAGGUAAAUACAGCAAGCUAAGGGUAACAAGGAUGGUCUGGUCUCUGAGUAGAGAUAAAACACCGAGAACAAAGAUACAAGCAAAAACGUGGAAAGCUCUGAAGCAAUUUAUUAUUAACAUCAGUAGAGCCCAGUAGCAAUGAAACAACACAUUGUGGCCAGGCACGGUGGCUCACGCCUGUAAUCACGAUACCUUGGGAGGCUGAGGUAGGAAGAUCUCUUGAGCCUAGGAGUUUCAGAUCAGCCUAGGCAACACAGUAAUACUCUGUCUCUACAAAAUAAUUUAAAAAUUAGCUGGGCGCAGGGAUGCAUUCCUGCAGUCCCAGUUACUUGGGAGGCUGAGGCAGGAGGAUCACUUAAGCUGGAAGGUUGAGACUGCAGUGAGCCAUAAUUGCACCACUGCACUCCAGCUUGGGUGACAGAUUGAGACUGUCUCCAAAAAAAAAAAAAAAAAAAAAAAAAAGGAAAGAAAAAUAAAGCAACAUGUUGUGCUAGUCCCAGAGCUGGGCAGUGAAAUUCUGCCCAAUUAGGCCUGGCAUUGAGCCAACUAGAGCCCCUGAUUAACACCAGUGAGGAUGUUUAGAGAGGGUGACACAUGUUUUCUUCUCCUCUAUGCCAGGCAGGUUGUUGAUAUAAGUACACUGUGAAAAUGUUUACCAUUAUUCUGCCUUCACCUAAUUAGAGCUUUUGGACCACAAACUUUACCCAGAGAAUUUGACAUUCAGAAUGGAAUGUAAAAGUGCAACAUUGGAAUACAGCUUGUGUAUAGCUGAGUGACCUCAUGGAACUGAGGCUUCCAUCUCCCUGCAAGCCUGCCUGCAACCUGUUCCCUUCUGGUUUUGUUUGGUUGACAAGGCUAGUGAAAUACCCAUGGUGGAGGCUCAGAAUCUUUUUGCAAUUUCCUAUCCCUGGGAUGUUUGAAAGGCUAAAUCUCCAUGAUAAGGAUAGCUAGCAUUUAUUGAGUAUUUGCUACCUUAAAAGAUAUUGCAAUGUUGUGGCAAGUGAGGAAGCUGAGGCUUGGAGAUGGUAGAUGGUCUGCCAAGGACACACAAAUCGUCAACUGUACAGUGAGAAUUUUUUAUUUUUUUAUUUUUUUAGACAGAGUCUCCCUCUGUUACCCAGCCUGGAGUGCAGUGAUGCGAUCUCAGCUCACUGCAACUUCUACCUCCUGGGUUCAACAAUUCUCCUGCCUCAGCCUCCCGAGUAGCUGGGAUUACAGGCAUGCACCACCAUGCCCGGCUAAUUUUUGUAUUUUUAGUAGAGACGGUGUUUUACCAUGUUGGCCAGGCUGGUUUUGAACUCCUGACCUCAAGUGAUCUGCCCACCAGGACCUCCCAAAGUGCUUGGAUUACAGGCAUGAGCCACCACGCCCGGCCGUACAGUGAGAAUUUGAACCCAGUUCUGUAUGACUCCUGAAUCCUCUUAAUUUCCACACUACAUCAGUAUUCAACAGUCAGGACUGCCUACACAGGCUGCUUGAUGGAGCUUCCCUGGCCUCCACAAAGAGAACCUCUCUCCAUUAAGAUUUGCUUUACAUUAAGACUGGGACUUGCAGCACCUUGUCUGAGUCCCCUCCCUGACCAGCUUCCUUCUAGUAGCAGUUGUGAACUCAGUACUGCUUUCCUCUUACUCCAAAAAGUGCUGCUCUUUUCUUAAAAAAAAAAAAAAAAAAAAGAAAAAAAAAAACAAAAGACAAAAAAAAAAUAAGCGUAACUUCCCUCAAAGCAACAACCCCCCCCCCCCUUUUCAUAUUCUUGCCUGGAAGAAAGGCCUUGCUUUCCUCAGCUUCUUAAAGCUGGGAGAAGUUAAAGCCAUUCUGAAAUGCUGCUGCUACUGCUAUAUGUGGGGGAGAAAGCAAAUUUUCUUUUUACUUUUUUAAUCAGUAUUUAUUUUAAGUUCGAGGGUACAUGUGCAGGAUGUGCAGGUUUGUUACAUAGGUAAACGUGUGCCAUGGUGGUUUGCUGCACAGGUCAACCCAUCACCUAGGUAUUAAACCCAGCAUCCAUUAGCUAUUCUUCCUGAUGCUGUCCCUCCUCCCACCCCACCAACAGGACCCCAAAUUUUCUUUCUUUUUUUUUUUUUUUUUUUUUUGAGAUGGAGUCUAGCUCUGUCACCCAGCUGGAGUGCAGUGGCGCGAUCUUGGCUCAUUGCAUUCUCC